rnacentral:rRNA from 1 species
CACGUAGGCGGCAAGGCAAGUCAGAUGUGAAAUCCCCGGGCUCAACCUGGGAAUUGCAUCUGAAACUGCAGUGCUUGAGUCCUGGAGGGGAUAGUGGAAUUCCCAGUGUAGCGGUGAAAUGCGUAGAUAUUGGGAGGAACACCUGCGGCGAAGGCGGCUAUCUGGACAGUGACUGACGCUGAUGCGCGAAAGCCAGGGGAGCGAACG